CAGGGUGUGAGGUCCCUAAAUUCUUUGAGGAUGUGUGUCCCACGGUUGGAGUCUUAGUUAACUAGGGGUCUUAGUUCAUGGUGUGUGGUAAGUGAACUCUUUGAGGUUUUGUCCCAUGGUUUGAAUCUGAAGUAUUAUGGACUUCAAGUUCAGGAUGUGAGUUUGUUGAAGUAUUUCAGAGUCUGUUUUCUAAGUUUUGAGUCUGAGGUGUUUGGGUCUGCAUUCAGCAUUUGAAUCCUCUGAACUCUUUGAGGGUCUGUGCUGCAUGGUUUGAGUCAGAGGUAUUUGGGAACAGUGUCCAAGUUGUGAGGUCUCUGAACUCAUUGAGGGUUUGUGUUCCAAGUUUUGAAUCUGAAGUAUUUCUAGGGUCUUUAUUCAAGAUAUGAGGUCUCUGAAAUCUUUGAGAAUCUGUUUUUCCAAGUUUAUGUCUGAGGUAAUUUGGAGUCUGUGUUCCGUGUAUGAGGUCUCUGAAGUCUUUCAGGAUCUGUUCCAAGGUUCAGCCUGAGGUACAGUAUUUUGGUGUCUGUGUUCAGGGUGUGAGGUCUCUAAACUCUGAGAGUCUGUGUACCAAAAUCUGAGACUUAAUUGUCCAUGUUACUCCGGUCAGGGUAUGAGUCCUGAACUCCUCAAAGGUCUGCUCUUCAAGAUUUGAGUCUGAGGCGUCUGAGAGGUCUGUGGUCAAGGUGUGAGGUUCCUGAAAAUCUUCGAGGUUCUGUCUUUGAAGGUUUAUAUCUCAGGUUUUUGUGAUGUGUUCAAGGUGAGAGGUCCCUGAACUUUUGAGGUCUAUGUACCAAGUGUUAAGUCUUAAGUAUUUAGUGUGCUCUGGUUAGGGUGUGAGUUCUCUGAUUUCAUUGGAAUUCUAUGCCCCAAGGAUUGAGUUUGAGGCAAUUGGGGGUCCAUGAUCAGGGUAUGAAAUCUCUAAAGUUUUAGAGGGUCUCUUCCCCAAGGGUUGAGUCUGAGGUAUUUGGUGAGUCCGUAUUCAGGAUAUGAGAUCUCUGAAGUCUCUAAGGAGUCUGUGCUUCAAUGUUUGAGUAUGAGGUGUUUGGGUGUUCGUCUUCAAGGGGUGAGUUCUCUGACCUUGUAGACGUUCUAUGUCCUAAGUUUUGUUUGAAUUAUUUGGAGUCUAAGUUCAGAAUGUGAGGUCUUUGAACUUUUUCAUUGUCUUUUUUUCAAUUUUUAAUCUGAGACUUUGGGAUUUGUGUUCAAGAUGUGAGGCCUUUGAACUCUUUGAGGGUAUGUAUCCUAAAGAUUGUGUCUGAGGUAUU
rnacentral:lncRNA from 1 species